rnacentral:rRNA from 1 species
AUGAACGCUAGCUACAGGCUUAACACAUGCAAGUCGAGGGGCAGCAUUUUAGUUUGCUUGCAAACUGAAGAUGGCGACCGGCGCACGGGUGAGUAACACGUAUCCAACCUGCCGAUAACUCCGGAAUAGCCUUUCGAAAGAAAGAUUAAUACCGGAUAGCAUACGAAUAUCGCAUGAUAUUUUUAUUAAAGAAUUUCGGUUAUCGAUGGGGAUGCGUUCCAUUAGUUUGUUGGCGGGGUAACGGCCCACCAAGACUACGAUGGAUAGGGGUUCUGAGAGGAAGGUCCCCCACAUUGGAACUGAGACACGGUCCAAACUCCUACGGGAGGCAGCAGUGAGGAAUAUUGGUCAAUGGGCGAGAGCCUGAACCAGCCAAGUAGCGUGAAGGAUGAAGGCUCUAUGGGUCGUAAACUUCUUUUAUAUGGGAAUAAAGUUUUCCACGUGUGGAAUUUUGUAUGUACCAUAUGAAUAAGGAUCGGCUAACUCCGUGCCAGCAGCCGCGGUAAUACGGAGGAUCCGAGCGUUAUCCGGAUUUAUUGGGUUUAAAGGGAGCGUAGGUGGAUUGUUAAGUCAGUUGUGAAAGUUUGCGGCUCAACCGUAAAAUUGCAGUUGAAACUGGCAGUCUUGAGUACAGUAGAGGUGGGCGGAAUUCGUGGUGUAGCGGUGAAAUGCUUAGAUAUCACGAAGAACUCCGAUUGCGAAGGCAGCUCACUGGAGCGCAACUGACGCUGAAGCUCGAAAGUGCGGGUAUCGAACAGGAUUAGAUACCCUGGUAGUCCGCACGGUAAACGAUGGAUGCCCGCUGUUGGUCUGAAUAGGUCAGCGGCCAAGCGAAAGCAUUAAGCAUCCCACCUGGGGAGUACGCCGGCAACGGUGAAACUCAAAGGAAUUGACGGGGGCCCGCACAAGCGGAGGAACAUGUGGUUUAAUUCGAUGAUACGCGAGGAACCUUACCCGGGCUUAAAUUGCAACAGAAUAUAUUGGAAACAGUAUAGCCGUAAGGCUGUUGUGAAGGUGCUGCAUGGUUGUCGUCAGCUCGUGCCGUGAGGUGUCGGCUUAAGUGCCAUAACGAGCGCAACCCUUAUCUUUAGUUACUAACAGGUUAUGCUGAGGACUCUAGAGAGACUGCCGUCGUAAGAUGUGAGGAAGGUGGGGAUGACGUCAAAUCAGCACGGCCCUUACGUCCGGGGCUACACACGUGUUACAAUGGGGGGUACAGAAGGCAGCUACACGGCGACGUGAUGCUAAUCCCAAAAACCUCUCUCAGUUCGGAUCGAAGUCUGCAACCCGACUUCGUGAAGCUGGAUUCGCUAGUAAUCGCGCAUCAGCCAUGGCGCGGUGAAUACGUUCCCGGGCCUUGUACACACCGCCCGUCAAGCCAUGAAAGCCGGGGGUACCUGAAGUACGUAACCGCAAGGAGCGUCCUAGGGUAAAACUGGUAAUUGGGGCU